AGCGGAGGAAAAGAAACUAACAAGGAUUCCCCUAGUAACGGCGAGUGAAGAGGGAAGAGCUCAAAUUUUGAAUCUGGCGUCUUUGGCGUCCGAGUUGUAAUCUAGAGAAGUGUUUUCCGCGGCGGACCGUGCAUAAGUCUCCUGGAAUGGUGCGUCAUAGAGGGUGAGAAUCCCGUAUAUGGCACGGACUCCCGUUGCUCUGCGAUACACUCUCGACGAGUCGAGUUGUUUGGGAAUGCAGCUCAAAAUGGGUGGUAAAUGCCAUCUAAAGCUAAAUAUUGGCGAGAGACCGAUAGCGAACAAGUACCGUGAGGGAAAGAUGAAAAGCACUUUGGAAAGAGAGUGAAACAGUACGUGAAAUUGUUGAAAGGGAAACGCUUGAAGUCAGUCGCGCCCUUCCGGAUUCAGCCUUGCUUCUGCUCGGUUUACUUCCUGUUGGGUGGGUCAACGUCAGUUUUGGUCAGAGGAGAAAGACUUGGGGAAUGUGGCAGCAUUCGUGCUGUGUUAUAGCCCCUUGUUGUAUACUUUGGCUGGGACUGAGGACCGCAGCGCGCCUUUACGGCCGGGGUUCGCCCACGUACGCGCUUAGGAUGUUGGCAUAAUGGCUUUAAGCGACCCGUCUUGA
rnacentral:rRNA from 1 species